rnacentral:rRNA from 1 species
UGCCGUGGGCGCUGGAGAAUUGAGGGGGGCUGCUCCUAGUACGAGAGGACCGGAGUGGACGCAUCACUGGUGUUCGGGUUGUCAUGCCAAUGGCACUGCCCGGUAGCUAAAUGCGGAAGAGAUAAGUGCUGAAAGCAUCUAAGCACGAAACUUGCCCCGAGAUGAGUUCUCCCUGAGACUAUAAGUCUCCUGAAGGAACGUUGAAGACGACGACGUUGAUAGGCCGGGUGUGUAAGCGCAGCGAUGCGUUGAGCUAACCGGUACUAAUGAACCGUGAGGCUUAACCUU